GAUGAACGCUAGCGGCAGGCUUAAUACAUGCAAGUCGAGGGGCAGCACGGUUAGCAAUAACUGGUGGCGACCGGCGCACGGGUGCGUAACACGUAUACAAUCUACCUUAAACAGGGGGAUAGCCUUUCGAAAGAGAGAUUAAUACCCCGUAAUAAAUUGAACGGCAUCGUUUGAUUUUGAAAGCUCCGGCGGUUUGAGAUGAGUAUGCGUCUGAUUAGCUAGUUGGUGAGGUAACGGCUCACCAAGGCGACGAUCAGUAGGGGAUCUGAGAGGACUAACCCCCCACACUGGUACUGAGACACGGACCAGACUCCUACGGGAGGCAGCAGUAAGGAAUAUUGGUCAAUGGAGGCAACUCUGAACCAGCCAUGCCGCGUGCAGGAUGACGGCCCUAUGGGUUGUAAACUGCUUUUAUACAAGAGAAAACCCUGGUACGUGUACCAGGUUGAUAGUAUUGUAAGAAUAAGCAUCGGCUAACUUCGUGCCAGCAGCC
rnacentral:rRNA from 1 species